rnacentral:rRNA from 1 species
GACAGAGGUGCCGAGCGUUAGGCGGAAUCACUGAGCUUAAAGCGUGUGUAGGCGGGUCGUUAAGUGUCUUGUGAAAUCCCACCGCUCAACGGUGGAACGGCUGGGCAUACUGGCGACCUUGAGAGACCUAGGGGCGAGCGGAACAAGCGGUGGAGCGGUGAAAUGCGUAGAUAUCGGGAGGAACACCAGUGGCGAAGGCGGCCUUCUGGACCAGUACUGACGCUCAUGCACGAAAGCGUGGGGAGCAAACAGG